GCUAUAUCCUGCUGCUGCCAGUAGAUGGCAGUGUAGCGCUGGCUAUUGCUGUGGCUGACUGUGACUGUGCCUAGCUGUGACUAACUGCGGUAGCCUUGAAUUCCCCUCUCAGACCAGAGACAUUCAUUAAAGCAAUACUGGUCAAUAAUACUGCUCCAUGUUUAUACACUUUUCCCCACAGGUGCCCCUACCUGCCCUUUUAUAUGUGUAGCUCCGCUGCUUCCUCAAUUGGGCCAUACCACUACUACAGGGUAGGGGUACUUUAAAAGGUGUUCCUGUAAAGAGUCUAACCCCCCCCCCCCCAUCUUGUAGCACAUCCGGAGCUCCAAGGACA
rnacentral:lncRNA from 1 species